AUUGAACGCUGGCGGCAUGCCUUACACAUGCAAGUCGAACGGUAACAGGUCUUCGGAUGCUGACGAGUGGCGAACGGGUGAGUAAUACAUCGGAACGUGCCCGAUCGUGGGGGAUAACGAAGCGAAAGCUUUGCUAAUACCGCAUAAGAUCUAUGGAUGAAAGCAGGGGACCGCAAGGCCUUGCGCGAACGGAGCGGCCGAUGGCAGAUUAGGUAGUUGGUGGGAUAAAAGCUUACCAAGCCGACGAUCUGUAGCUGGUCUGAGAGGACGACCAGCCACACUGGGACGGAGACACGGCCCAGACUCCUACGGGAGGCAGCAGUGGGGAAUUUUGGACAAUGGGCGCAAGCCUGAUCCAGCCAUGCCGCGUGCAGGAUGAAGGCCUUCGGGUUGUAAACUGCUUUUGUACGGAACGAAAAGACUCUGGUUAAUACCUGGGGUCCAUGACGGUACCGUAAGAAUAAGCACCGGCUAACUACGUGCCAGCCGCCGCGGUAACAC
rnacentral:rRNA from 1 species